rnacentral:rRNA from 1 species
UACGUUAGGGUGCAAGCGUUUGUCCGGAAUUAUUUGGGCUAAAGAGCUCGUAGGCGGUUUUUGUUUUGCGUCGGCUGUGAAAUCCCGAGGCUCCAACCUCGGGUCUGCAGUUCGAUACGAGCAAACUAGAGUGUUUGCAGGGGGAGGACUGGAAUUCCUGGUGUAGCGGUGAAAUGCGCAGAUAUCAGGAGGAACACCGGUGGCGAAGGCGGGGUCUCUGGACAGUUUUCCUG